GAUGAAGAACGUAGCGAAAUGCGAUACGUAAUGUGAAUUGCAGAAUUCAGUGAAUCAUCGAAUCUUUGAACGCAUAUUGCGCUCUUUGGUAUUCCGAAGAGCAUGCUUGUUUGAGUAUCAGUAAACACCUCAAAGCUUUUGGAUUUUUUAAUCGAAAAGCUUUGGACUUGAGCAAUCCCAACACCAAUCUUUUUGAGAUCGGUGGCGGGUUGCUUGAAAUGCAGGUGCAGCUGGACAUUCUCCUGAGCUAAAAGCAUAUUCAUUUAGUCCCGUCAAACGGAGUAUUACUUGUGCUGCAGCUAACAUAAAGGGAGUUUGGCCGUAUUGGCUGACUGAUGCAGGAUUUCACAAGGGUCGGCAACGAUUCUUGUUAAACUCGAUCUCAAAUCAAGUAAGACUACCCGCUGAACUUAAGCAUAUCAAUAAGCGGAGGA
rnacentral:misc_RNA from 1 species